AGGACGACGCUGGCGGCGUGCCUAACACAUGCAAGUCGAGCGAGGAGAUUCCUCGGGAUGAUCCUAGCGGCGGACGGGUGAGUAACACGUGGGCAACCUGCCUCAUAGAGAGGAAUAGCCUUACGAAAGGGAGAUUAAUACCUCAUAACAUUGCAGUUUCGCAUGGAACAGCAAUUAAAGGAGCAAUCCGCUAUGAGAUGGGCCCGCGGCGCAUUAGCUAGUUGGUGAGGUAACGGCUCACCAAGGCGACGAUGCGUAGCCGACCUGAGAGGGUGAUCGGCCACAUUGGGACUGAGACACGGCCCAGACUCCUACGGGAGGCAGCAGUGGGGAAUAUUGCACAAUGGGGGAAACCCUGAUGCCAGCAACGCCGCGUGAGUGAUGACGGCCUUCGGGUUGUAAAGCUCUGUCUUCAGGGACGAUAAUGACGGUACCUGAGGAGGAAGCCACGGCUAACUACGUGCCAGCCGCCGC
rnacentral:rRNA from 1 species